CGGCGUGCCUAAUACAUGCAAGUCGAACGAACUCUGGUAUUGAUUGGUGCUUGCAUCAUGAUUUACAUUUGAGUGAGUGGCGAACUGGUGAGUAACACGUGGGAAACCUGCCCAGAAGCGGGGGAUAACACCUGGAAACAGAUGCUAAUACCGCAUAACAACUUGGACCGCAUGGUCCGAGUUUGAAAGAUGGCUUCGGCUAUCACUUUUGGAUGGUCCCGCGGCGUAUUAGCUAGAUGGUGGGGUAACGGCUCACCAUGGCAAUGAUACGUAGCCGACCUGAGAGGGUAAUCGGCCACAUUGGGACUGAGACACGGCCCAAACUCCUACGGGAGGCAGCAGUAGGGAAUCUUCCACAAUGGACGAAAGUCUGAUGGAGCAACGCCGCGUGAGUGAAGAAGGGUUUCGGCUCGUAAAACUCUGUUGUUAAAGAAGAACAUAUCUGAGAGUAACUGUUCAGGUAUUGACGGUAUUUAACCAGAAAGCCACGGCUAACUACGUGCCAGCAGCCGCGGUAAUACGUAGGUGGCAAGCGUUGUCCGGAUUUAUUGGGCGUAAAGCGAGCGCAGGCGGUUUUUUAAGUCUGAUGUGAAAGCCUUCGGCUCAACCGAAGAAGUGCAUCGGAAACUGGGAAACUUGAGUGCAGAAGAGGACAGUGGAACUCCAUGUGUAGCGGUGAAAUGCGUAGAUAUAUGGAAGAACACCAGUGGCGAAGGCGGCUGUCUGGUCUGUAACUGACGCUGAGGCUCGAAAGUAUGGGUAGCAAACAGGAUUAGAUACCCUGGUAGUCCAUACCGUAAACGAUGAAUGCUAAGUGUUGGAGGGUUUCCGCCCUUCAGUGCUGCAGCUAACGCAUUAAGCAUUCCGCCUGGGGAGUACGGCCGCAAGGCUGAAACUCAAAGGAAUUGACGGGGGCCCGCACAAGCGGUGGAGCAUGUGGUUUAAUUCGAAGCUACGCGAAGAACCUUACCAGGUCUUGACAUACUAUGCAAAUCUAAGAGAUUAGACGUUCCCUUCGGGGACAUGGAUACAGGUGGUGCAUGGUUGUCGUCAGCUCGUGUCGUGAGAUGUUGGGUUAAGUCCCGCAACGAGCGCAACCCUUAUUAUCAGUUGCCAGCAUUAAGUUGGGCACUCUGGUGAGACUGCCGGUGACAAACCGGAGGAAGGUGGGGAUGACGUCAAAUCAUCAUGCCCCUUAUGACCUGGGCUACACACGUGCUACAAUGGAUGGUACAACGAGUUGCGAACUCGCGAGAGUAAGCUAAUCUCUUAAAGCCAUUCUCAGUUCGGAUUGUAGGCUGCAACUCGCCUACAUGAAGUCGGAAUCGCUAGUAAUCGCGGAUCAGCAUGCCGCGGUGAAUACGUUCCCGGGCCUUGUACACACCGCCCGUCACACCAUGAGAGUUUGUAACACCCAAAGUCGGUGGGGUAACCUUUUAGGAACCAGCCGCCUAAGGUGGGACAGAUGAUUAGGGUG
rnacentral:rRNA from 1 species